UCGGGAAUAUUGCGCAAUGGAGGAAACUCUGACGCAGUGACGCCGCGUGCAGGAAGAAGGUUUUCGGAUUGUAAACUGCUUUAGACAGGGAAGAAAAAGACAGUACCUGUAGAAUAAGCUCCGGCUAACUACGUGCCAGCAGCCGCGGUAAUACGUAGGGAGCAAGCGUUAUCCGGAUUUAUUGGGUGUAAAGGGUGCGUAGACGGAGAAGCAAGUUAGUUGUGAAAUCCCUCGGCUUAACUGAGGAACUGCAACUAAAACUACUUCCCUUGAGUGCUGGAGAGGAAAGUGGAAUUCCUAGUGUAGCGGUGAAAUGCGUAGAUAUUAGGAGGAACACCAGUGGCGAAGGCGACUUUCUGGACAGUAACUGACGUUGAGGCACGAAAGUGUGGGGAGCAAACAGGAUUAGAUACC
rnacentral:rRNA from 1 species